rnacentral:rRNA from 1 species
GAUGAACGCUAGCGGCAGGCCUAAUACAUGCAAGUCGGACGGGAUUGGAGAGCUUGCUUUCCAUGAGAGUGGCGCACGGGUGCGUAACACGUAUGUAACCUACCUUUAUCAGGGGGAUAGCCUCUCGAAAGAGAGAUUAACACCGCAUAAAAUCACAGAACGGCAUCGUUUAAUGAUCAAAUAUUUAUAGGAUAAAGAUGGGCAUGCGGGACAUUAGCUAGAUGGUGAGGUAACGGCUCACCAUGGCCAUGAUGUCUAGGGGAUCUGAGAGGAUGGCCCCCCACACUGGUACUGAGACACGGACCAGACUCCUACGGGAGGCAGCAGUAAGGAAUAUUGGUCAAUGGACGGAAGUCUGAACCAGCCAUGCCGCGUGCAGGAAGACGGCCCUACGGGUUGUAAACUGCUUUUGUACGGGAAUAAACCCAGAUACGAGUAUCUGGCUGAAUGUACUGUAAGAAUAAGGAUCGGCUAACUCCGUGCCAGCCGCCGCCGUAA